GGUAUCCUAAACAAACAUGAGGUUCUUCUCAGUUUUUGCUGUGCUUCUUACACUCUGCCACAUCGGAUCGGCUGAUUCUUGCGGACCGAACUCACACUGGAAUGAUUGCGGAUCGUCUUGCGAACCAUCGUGUAAAGAUCCAGAUCCAGUGAAUUGCACUUUAAACUGUGUUCCUCAGUGCGUAUGCGAGCCAGCAUACGUUCAGGAUGACAACAAAAAUUGCAUACUAUUGAGCGAAUGUUAACGCAAAUAAUAAGUAUGAAAAUCAAAUGGUAAAAAAUGUAGGAUCGUUCUGGUGCUAGACGAUUCCACUAACAUAUUGAAUAAACUGUUCCAUUACACGGUA